CACAUUUUAAACUUCAAGGGUAAACUUGUUUGUUUUGAUCUGAAGUUGGUCGACGAUUACAAGCUUGACGUAUAGACUGGGUGUGUGGUGGAAAGAGAAGCGCUUAAACGAUCAACUGGUUGGUUCAGCUUUAUCAAUUUUUAUUGAGUAUAUAUUUACUCUUGCGUCUUAUUUGAGUAAAAUUCUCUAUUAUUACCGUUACAAAAAGCUCAAUAAGCAACCUCAACUACAAAAAGUAGCACAUUAGGCAGCAAACGUUCAAUCUAUUUUGAUUUCUGCUGUUGUAUUCUAUUUCCAAGAUCUCUGUCAAUCUCAGUUUUAUUUUACUUGACGGCGGUUUUUCAUUGUGACGAAAUUGAAGAAAAGCAAAAUUUUCUCUCAGAAAUUUAAGAAAGUGUGCAUACGCUACUCCUUUCUCAAUAUCAAAUUGCCCUACGUUUCUGUCAAAGAAUAUCCUUAAAAUAAUGGGGAAACAACAAAUAUACAUGAAAUUUAAUCCAGUUAUCCAGUUAUUAGUGUAGCAAAUAAGUAUUUGGAGCAUACAACGACCUACGUUGACAAAUAAUUUUUUUUUUAAGUAAUUGGUAUUUUAUAAACAUUUCGGUAAUUAGAAACGAAAUAUAUCAGAUGAGGGCUACGUGAUUUUUGCGUAGCAACUCGUUUCAAGUCAUCAACGUUAUCAUCAUUGUGAAUUGUGGGUUAUUUUUUAUUUAUUAUUUAAUGUCUCUCGCGUCUCUACUUGUGGACGAACGACAUGUUUUAGGGUCAAACGCGGCCUACCGUAUAUAAACCGCCGUUGUCUCAGGGACCAUCAACAGUUUAGCGCUUGCACUCCUCGAAAUUUGCUCUACAAAAGCCAAGAUUACAAUCAUGAUUCAACGCCAGUCCAAUUUUUCCCUUCUCGCCUUGGUGGUGUCGUUAUUGUCUUUCAUUAUUGUAAACCAUCAUCAGUUUUG